rnacentral:lncRNA from 1 species
GCAGUAUAUAGGUAUAUACUAUAUGUGCUGCUGUAAUUGUUCUCACAGCAAGUAAAGAUAUAUGGACUGCAAAUGUAAAUAUAGAUCGAGGAUAUAUAUGUUUUAUGUAUAGACUACAAAGUAGUUUAGAGAAAUAUAUAAAUUUACAUGUACAUACAUAUAGCGGUGUCAAAGGUUCCAGACAUGUAGCAGUUCAAAAGGUAAUGAGAAUUUCUCAUGCCAAUGCAUCAAAGUUGCUGUCCCUCCCUAAAAAAAAGUUGUAGUCCCAAGUACAGUGCGACCAGUUUACAACUAAUCCUGUCACGCCACCAUUAUCUUAAUUGCAAGACAAUAGGCAGUAAGCUGCAUACGUAGAGUUGGCUGUGGCUGGUAUGAUUCACUAACUCUGCUGACCAGUCACCUUUCAUUUAGGAUGUUUACUCCACCACUGGUAAACCCUCCACUAUCAUCUCUGUUUUCAAAAGACUGGCUCUAAAGAACAAAAGAAAUGAUAGAUGAACAAAUUAGUUUCAAUGCAGUAUAGAAAGUUUGAAGUGUAGCUACAAAAUCUAUCGCUUACAUGUAUUGGCAACAUCUUGGUUAGCAGAGGACCUGGUAGCACUCAUUUUUUCAAUCUGCGUAGCAGGGGCACAUCAAUUAAUAAGUUGAACUACCAAAAACAAAGUAAAAAAUAGAAGAAAAUGAGACAUUCAUUUACAGAGCCUCAUAGUUUCUGCGUAGCAUUCCAAGCUGUAUCACAUAAUAAGGCACAUUCCACACUAUAGUAUCACAUAAGGAACGUUGUUAUACACUGAAAAUGAUCAUAGUAUCAAUAGGAAAAAUGCUUUGUAAAUUAUCCUUAAUGCUAUAUAAUUUAAUAAGGCACAUUUCAUAUCACAGUAUCACAUUAUGGAGCAUAAAUGGCAGGAGGCUAACUUACAUCAGUGAUUGCACGAGCUAGCUUUGCAUAUUGAAUGUAAGCUAGCAUAGCUAAAGAAGCACACAUCUAAUAACAUUGGCAUAAAUAAGAAAAAUCUUUGCAAUAAAAUAGUACAAUGAGUGUUCCAACAUAGUACAGAUAUGACACUGGCGAAUAAGCAAAAUGUUUCUAGCAAAAUGCUAGAAUCUGUGGUCCAGCAUAGUUUAGAACUUUAAAAGUUACUUGCUCUUCUUUUUAGUAAAAUGCAGGUACUACCAAUGGAUUCAUCAUAUCUCACAUAAAAGAUAAGUGUGGAUAUAGCCAACUUUACCUCUAUGCAUGGGCAUGUUCAAAUUGGUUCAAAUUUUUUCAUGUUUCCAUAAAAUAAACAAAUAAAUGAUUUGAAGCCUAUCAUCAUUCUAUGAGUGGAUAAUGGUUCAGGAAACAACGCAAAUUAAUGGAAAGAUCAUUACCUGCAGGAGUACAGGGUAGGAGCAAAAAAAUGAUUUUAGCAUUAGCCGUCACACAUGCACUCCUGCAACAGAUAUAGACUGAUCUGGUUAAAUUAGAUCUGCUAGCAUCACAUGAAAAGCAAUUGAAAGAAGCAUAUCAUUUCUUAAUCCCAAAGUAAUGUCAGCUAAGAUCAUAGACCUCUGGUUCAUCCAUCUGAACUCAAACUGAGAGCAGGAAUAGACAUCAGAGCAAAAAAAAGUACAUAAGAACAUGGCCCUUCACACCUAAAUGCCUGAAUUCUUAGGCACAUACAUUAGAUCAUCCAUGAAGUAAAAUUAGAACCAACAUGUAAAUGUGAUUAAUGGAGAGAAGCACACACCUUUCGCUUGAGGAUUAUCACUCUGCUAAUGGGAAAUCCUGUACGACCAUUCUAUUUUCAAAGGAUGGAAAUGGAACCCGAUUCUACUUUAGCGCCAAGCUACAAAAAGGUAGUGAUAGAGAUCAAUCAAGAAGGGUGUGUGGCAAGUCAAGUUGAAGACAUUCAGUCAUGAUAGUCUGAUAACAAGGUGAUGAAAAUCAUUCUAGACUAAAUAAGAAUUAGGCACCUUCAAUAACACAUGAGACAACCAAGGUAAUAAGCAUUAUGUAUAAACCUUUCACAUGGAUUAACAUGGUAGCUGCAAUCCUAUACUCGGUGAUGGGACCUAAACAAAGUCCUAACUAACCUAUUUUCUAGAGAUAUCCUAGGAAGAUCAUGCUGGACAACACACUCCAAGAACCCAUAUGUCUUGAGAAAUCUCUGAACAGAAGCUCAUGUAUUAUCUGAAAAGCGGGUGGAAUUCACAAGAGUCUAAUUAGCAUAAUGCAAGUGACAAAAACUACACCCGCUAAUAUUUGUAUACACACCUCUGCAUAAUUCGUUCAUCCAAUUAUUCGCAUACCUAAUACGAAAUUAAAAAAUCAGCAAUGUAUAACCAAGACAUCUUUUAGCACUCAAAGACAG